rnacentral:rRNA from 1 species
UUACGGGUAAAGGGAGCGAUCCGGUACACGAGAGACUCGCGUUCUAUCAGCUAGUAGGUGGGGUAACGGCCCACCAGGCCAAGACGGAUAGCCGGACUGAGAGGUCGAUCGGCCACACUGGAACUGAGACACGGUCCAGACUCCUACGGGAGGCAGCAGGUGGGGAAUUAGUUGGGCAAGUGGGGGAAACCCUGACCCAGCGACGCCGCGUGAGUGAAGAAAUCCCUCGGGAUAGUAAAACUCUGUUGUGUGGGAAGAUAAUGACGGUACCACACGAGGAAGCCCGGCAAACUACGUG